GGGAAACAAAGUCCAUUGCGACCUUGAUGCAAGACUGCAAAUUCAAAUAGAAACGGAUUCAGUUUUUAAGCAAUGGGAUAAUUAUUGCUACAUUCAAAUAGAAUGAAAAAAAGGGCUGGUUAAGUUCUCUUACCUUCAAGUUUCGGACUUGGUGAGGACAUCCAGCAGGAAUGAAAACCGCUUCACCAAGCUUCUGCUCAAACGUCCAGGGUUCCACACCUAUAUAACAGGCAAGCCAUGACAUAAGAGAAACAAGGCUACAGCAUGAAAGGCUGCAUUUCUGAGCAUAGGAAAAACAGGGGAAAUAAACUCCCCACAAAUACAAGGAAAACAAUACCUGCUUCACAGGAUUGCAAUGGAGGUGCCUGAAUUCCGAGGCGUGUUUCUUAAGGUAAUCUUGUAGCUUGUCAGAAUCCUCUCUUCGGAAAAUAUCCCACAAGGCACCACCAGUUCUCUCGUGCUCUCCACUCUCCAUAUUGUCCGAAAUACAAUGAGCUCCAUUAUGCAUCAUUGCUGAACUACCACUGCCAAUGUAAUUGGAACACUGUGCUGCCUUGCUUUGUACCUUAGAUCCAUGAGAUGGAUGUUUAUCCCUAACAUCACCUUCACUAUCAAUAGGUGUUACAGCAUUGUUGUCCAGACCUGCACAGUGAAAACAAGAAUGUUGUAUUAAGUUAAAAAUCAAGGACAACUGAAAGUAAACAUGUACAACUCACCAUCAGAAAUAGCUUUACAGAUACUAUCAUUACAUGAGGUCUUUGAUGUUUCAUCCAUAGUUACAUUCUUGGAAUUAGUAGAAAUUUGUGAUAGGUUGUGUUCUGAAACGCCAUAAAAUUCCUGAAGAUCUUGUUCUUUCAUUUUCUUUCUGGUCUUCUCUAUCUCCUUAAGUGGAUAAGUCUCGUAGGGUACUUCUGCUGUGUGUGUUAAAAUAUUUACCUGAUCAAAGAAAGACACAUGUCACAAUUAAUUCCUGCCAUGAUAAACUAGUGAAACCCAAGCAAUUGACAAAUAAGAAAUAAAGAACCAUCACUUGUUACCAGCUGGGUGUACAGCCAAAGCUUGAAAAAGCUAGGUCAGAGAAAGUGAUGUAAAAAAAAGUGAUAUGCAUGUUACCCAGUACAAGAUAUAGCAUUGCGUAAGUCAAUUUUAUUCCACAUUGAAGGUACAAAACAACCACAAUUGUUAGAAUAUGAGAAAAAGGAUCACCAUUAACAAAGCAUACCGCAUCAGACAUGUCACAGUGAAGCUUGGUCACAGAAUCACCCCUGCCUAACUCUUGUUUAAAUCCAUAAGCAAUGUAAGUUUUGGGUCCAAGAUCUGGCUUCAGGGCACCAUUAGGAAGCUUGACUGCAAGAUUUAGUGGACCAUAUCGA